rnacentral:rRNA from 1 species
GAUGAACGCUGGCGGCGUGCCUAAUACAUGCAAGUCGAGCGAACAGACGAGGAGCUUGCUCCUCUGACGUUAGCGGCGGACGGGUGAGUAACACGUGGAUAACCUACCUAUAAGACUGGGAUAACUUCGGGAAACCGGAGCUAAUGCCGGAUAAUAUAUUGAACCGCAUGGUUCAAUAGUGAAAGACGGUUUUGCUGUCACUUAUAGAUGGAUCCGCGCCGCAUUAGCUAGUUGGUAAGGUAACGGCUUACCAAGGCAACGAUGCGUAGCCGACCUGAGAGGGUGAUCGGCCACACUGGAACUGAGACACGGUCCAGACUCCUACGGGAGGCAGCAGUAGGGAAUCUUCCGCAAUGGGCGAAAGCUUGACGGAGCAACGCCGCGUGAGUGAUGAAGGUCUUCGGAUCGUAAAACUCUGUUAUUAGGGAAGAACAAAUGUGUAAGUAACUAUGCACGUCUUGACGGUACCUAAUCAGAAAGCCACGGCUAACUACGUG